UAGGGCAGUAGGGCAGUGGGGCAGUAGGGCAGAGGUUCGAGCGCCCUUUAAACAUAUUGCCCUCCUGCCCUACUGCCU
rnacentral:rRNA from 1 species